rnacentral:rRNA from 1 species
UACGUAGGGUGCAAGCGUUAAUCGGAAUUACUGGGCGUAAAGCGUGCGCAGGCGGUUUUGUAAGACCGAUGUGAAAUCCCCGGGCUCAACCUGGGAACUGCAUUGGUGACUGCAAGGCUUGAGUGUGUCAGAGGGAGGUGGAAUUCCGCGUGUAGCAGUGAAAUGCGUAGAGAUGUGGAGGAACACCGAUGGCGAAGGCAGCCCCCUGGGCUAACACUGACGCUCAUGCACGAAAGCGUGGGGAGCAAACAGG